rnacentral:rRNA from 1 species
CGUAGGUGGCAAGCGUUGUCCGGAAUUAUUGGGCGUAAAGGGCUCGCAGGCGGUUCCUUAAGUCUGAUGUGAAAGCCCACGGCUCAACCGUGGAGGGUCAUUGGAAACUGGGGAACUUGAGUACAGAAGAGGAGAGUGGAAUUCCACGUGUAGCGGUGAAAUGCGUAGAGAUGUGGAGGAACACCAGUGGCGAAGGCGACUCUCUGGUCUGUAACUGACGCUGAGGAGCGAAAGCGUGGGAGCGAACAGGAUU